GCGACCGGCGCACGGGUGAGUAACGCGUAUGCAACUUACCUAUCAGAGGGGGAUAGCCCGGCGAAAGUCGGAUUAAUACCCCAUAAAACAGGGGUCCCGCAUGGGAAUAUUUGUUAAAGAUUCAUCGCUGAUAGAUAGGCAUGCGUUCCAUUAGGCAGUUGGCGGGGUAACGGCCCACCAAACCGACGAUGGAUAGGGGUUCUGAGAGGAAGGUCCCCCACAUUGGUACUGAGACACGGACCAAACUCCUACGGGAGGCAGCAGUGAGGAAUAUUGGUCAAUGGCCGAGAGGCUGAACAAGCCAAGUCGCGUGAAGGAAGAAGGAUCUAUGGUUUGUAAACUUCUUUUAUAGGGGAAUAAAGUGGAGGACGUGUCCUUUUUUGUAUGUACCCUAUGAAUAAGCAUCGGCUAACUCCGUGCCAGCAGCCGCGGUAAUACGGAGGAUGCGAGCGUUAUCCGGAUUUAUUGGGUUUAAAGGGUGCGUAGGUGGUGAUUUAAGUCAGCGGUGAAAGUUUGUGGCUCAACCAUAAAAUUGCCGUUGAAACUGGGUUACUUGAGUGUGUUUGAGGUAGGCGGAAUGCGUGGUGUAGCGGUGAAAUGCAUAGAUAUCACGCAGAACUCCGAUUGCGAAGGCAGCUUACUAAACCAUAACUGACACUGAAGCACGAAAGCGUGGGGAUCAAACAGGAUUAGAUACCCUGGUAGUCCACGCAGUAAACGAUGAUUACUA
rnacentral:rRNA from 1 species